UUGUCUCAAAGAUUAAGCCAUGCAUGUCUCAGUACAAGCCAAAUUAAGGUGAAACCGCGAAAGGCUCAUUAAAUCAGUUAUGGUUCCUUAGAUCGUACCAACAUUUACUUGGAUAACUGUGGUAAUUCUAGAGCUAAUACAUGCAAACAGAGUCCCGACCGGAGACGGAAGGGACGCUUUUAUUAGAUCAAAACCAAUCGGUGGCGGGUGUAACAAGCCGUCAUCGCACAAUCUGUUGAAUCUGAAUAACUUACUGCUGAUCGCACGGUCUCGCACCGGCGACGCAUCUUUCAAAUGUCUGCCUUAUCAACUGUCGAUGGUAGGUUCUGCGCCUACCAUGGUUGUAACGGGUAACGGGGAAUCAGGGUUCGAUUCCGGAGAGGGAGCCUGAGAAACGGCUACCACAUCCAAGGAAGGCAGCAGGCGCGCAAAUUACCCACUCCCGGCACGGGGAGGUAGUGACGAAAAAUAACGAUACGGGACUCAUCCGAGGCCCCGUAAUCGGAAUGAGCACACUUUAAAACCUUUAACGAGGAUCAAUUGGAGGGCAAGUCUGGUGCCAGCAGCCGCGGUAAUUCCAGCUCCAAUAGCGUAUAUUAAAGUUGUUGCGGUUAAAAAGCUCGUAGUCGAAUCUGUGUCCCGCGCCGCCGGUUCAUCGCUCGCGGUGUUUAACUGGCGUGUCCGCGGGACGUCCUGUCGGUGGGCUUAGCUCGUGAGGGCGGCCCAACUUUAAAUCCCACCGCGGUGCUCUUUACUGAGUGUCGAGGUGGGCCGACACGUUUACUUUGAACAAAUUAGAGUGCUUAAAGCAGGCUAAAACUUCGCCUGAAUAUUGUGUGCAUGGAAUGAUGGAAUAGGACCUCGGUUCUAUUUUGUUGGUUUUCGGAACCCCGAGGUAAUGAUUAAUAGGAACGGAUGGGGGCAUUCGUAUUGCGACGUUAGAGGUGAAAUUCUUGGAUCGUCGCAAGACGGACAGAAGCGAAAGCAUUUGCCAAAAACGUUUUCAUUGAUCAAGAACGAAAGUUAGAGGCUCGAAGGCGAUCAGAUACCGCCCUAGUUCUAACCAUAAACGAUGCCAGCUAGCGAUCCGCCGACGUUCCUCCGAUGACUCGGCGGGCAGCUUCCGGGAAACCAAAGCUUUUGGGUUCCGGGGGAAGUAUGGUUGCAAAGCUGAAACUUAAAGGAAUUGACGGAAGGGCACCACCAGGAGUGGAGCCUGCGGCUUAAUUUGACUCAACACUGGAAACCUCACCAGGCCCGGACACCGGAAGGAUUGACAGAUUGAGAGCUCUUUCUUGAUUCGGUGGGUGGUGGUGCAUGGCCGUUCUUAGUUGGUGGAGCGAUUUGUCUGGUUAAUUCCGAUAACGAACGAGACUCUAGCCUGCUAACUAGGCGUAUUUCCGACAUCUCAAAGGCCCGCUGCCCGGCGUUCCGUUUGUGGGGUUAGUCGCGGUUUUUACUGUCGGCGUACAAACAUUUCUUCUUAGAGGGACAGGCGGCUUCUAGCCGCACGAGAUUGAGCAAUAACAGGUCUGUGAUGCCCUUAGAUGUUCUGGGCCGCACGCGCGCUACACUGAAGGGAUCAGCGUGUCCUCCCUGGCCGAGAGGCCCGGGUAACCCGCUGAACCCCCUUCGUGCUAGGGAUUGGGGCUUGCAAUUGUUCCCCAUGAACGAGGAAUUCCCAGUAAGCGCGAGUCAUAAGCUCGCGUUGAUUACGUCCCUGCCCUUUGUACACACCGCCCGUCGCUACUACCGAUUGAAUGAUUUAGUGAGGUCUUCGGACCGGUACGCGGUGGCGUUUCGACGUUGCCGAUGUUGCUGGGAAGAUGACCAAACUUGAUUAUUU
rnacentral:rRNA from 1 species